rnacentral:tRNA from 3 species
GCCGAAGUGGUGGAAUUGGCAGACACGCAAGAUUCAGGAUCUUGUGGGGGCAACUCCGUGGGGGUUCGAAUCCCCCCUUCGGCACCA